UGUCCAGACUCCUACGGGAGGCAGCAGUGGGGGAUAUUGGACAAUGGGGGAAACCCUGAUCCAGCGAUGCCACGUGAGGGAAGAAGGUUUUCGGAUUGUAAACCUCUGUGGACAGGGACGAUAAUGACGGUACCUGUCAAGAAAGCCACGGCUAACUACGUGCCAGCAGCCGCGGUAAUACGUAGGAGGCAAGCGUUAUCCGGAUUUACUGGGUGUAAAGGGAGCGUAGACGGCAGCACAAGUCUGGAGUGAAAUCCCGGGGCUUAACCCCGGAACUGCUUUGGAAACUGUGCGGCUGGAGUGCAGGAGGGGUAAGCGGAAUUCCUAGUGUAGCGGUGAAAUGCGUAGAUAUUAGGAGGAACACCGGUGGCGAAGGCGGCUUACUGGACUGUAACUGACGUUGAGGCUCGAAAGCGUGGGGAGCAAACAGGAUUAGAUACCCCAGUAAU
rnacentral:rRNA from 1 species